rnacentral:tRNA from 1 species
AACAUGAAUAAACUCUAUGUUACGGCCAUAGAAAUGAUAUUUAAUUUAUCUCAUGUUU